rnacentral:rRNA from 1 species
UUAGAGUUUGAUCCUGGCUCAGGACGAACGCUGGCGGCGUGCUUAACACAUGCAAGUCGAACGCUGAAGCCUGGCUUUUGUUGGGUGGAUGAGUGGCGAACGGGUGAGUAACACGUGAGUAACCUGCCCCCUUCUUUGGGAUAACGCCCGGAAACGGGUGCUAAUACUGGAUAUUCACUGGCCUUCGCAUGGGGGUUGGUGGAAAGGGUUUUCUGGUGGGGGAUGGGCUCGCGGCCUAUCAGCUUGUUGGUGGGGUGAUGGCCUACCAAGGCUUUGACGGGUAGCCGGCCUGAGAGGGUGACCGGUCACAUUGGGACUGAGAUACGGCCCAGACUCCUACGGGAGGCAGCAGUGGGGAAUAUUGCACAAUGGGCGCAAGCCUGAUGCAGCGACGCCGCGUGAGGGAUGGAGGCCUUCGGGUUGUGAACCUCUUUCGCUCAUGGUCAAGCCGCAACAAUGGUUGUGGUGAGGGUAGUGGGUAAAGAAGCGCCGGCUAACUACGUGCCAGCAGCCGCGGUAAUACGUAGGGCGCGAGCGUUGUCCGGAAUUAUUGGGCGUAAAGGGCUUGUAGGCGGUUGGUCGCGUCUGCCGUGAAAUCCUCUGGCUUAACUGGGGGCGUGCGGUGGGUACGGGCUGACUUGAGUGCGGUAGGGGAGACUGGAACUCCUGGUGUAGCGGUGGAAUGCGCAGAUAUCAGGAAGAGCACCGGUGGCGAAGGCGGGUCUCUGGGCCGUUACUGACGCUGAGGAGCGAAAGCGUGGGGAGCGAACAGGAUUAGAUACCCUGGUAGUCCACGCUGUAAACGUUGGGCACUAGGUGAGGGGGCCACCCCGUGGUUUUUUGCGCCGUAGAUAACGCUUAAAGUGCCCCGCCUGGGGAGUACGGCCGCAAGGCUAAAACUCAAAGGAAUUGACGGGGGCCCGCACAAGCGGAGGAACAUGUGGUUUAAUUCGAUGAUACGCGAGGAACCUUACCCGGGCUUGAAUUGCAGAGGAAGGAUUUAGAGAUAAUGACGCCCUUCGGGGUCUCUGUGAAGGUGCUGCAUGGUUGUCGUCAGCUCGUGCCGUGAGGUGUCGGCUUAAGUGCCAUAACGAGCGCAACCCCUCUCUUCAGUUGCCAUCAGGUGAUGCUGGGCACUCUGGAGACACUGCCACCGUAAGGUGUGAGGAAGGUGGGGAUGACGUCAAAUCAGCACGGCCCUUACGUCCGGGGCUACACACGUGUUACAAUGGCCGGUACAGAGGGAUGGUGUAAUGCAAAUUGCAUCAAAUCUUGAAAGCCGGUCCCAGUUCGGACUGGGGUCUGCAACCCGACCCCACGAAGCUGGAUUCGCUAGUAAUCGCGCAUCAGCCAUGGCGCGGUGAAUACGUUCCCGGGCCUUGCACACACCGCCCGUCAA